rnacentral:rRNA from 1 species
AGCAGCCGCGGUAAUUCCAGCUCCAAUAGCGUAUAUUAAAGUUGUUGCAGUUAAAAAGCUCGUAGUUGAAUUUCGGGAUCAAUACGUCGGUCGUGCUUCGGUACGUACUGGCGUAAUUGAUUUCUCCCUUCUGACGAACCAUGAUGUCAUUAACUUGGUGUCAUGGGAAAUCAGGACUGUUACUUUGAAAAAAUUAGAGUGUUUAAAGCAGGCUCACGCUUGAAUACAUUAGCAUGGAAUAAUGAAAUAGGACGUUCGAUCCUAUUUUGUUGGUUUUUAGGAUCAACGUAAUGAUUAAUAGGGAUAGUUGGGGGCAUUAGUAUUCAAUUGUCAGAGGUGAAAUUCUUGGAUUUAUUGAAGACUAACUACUGCGAAAGCAUUUGCCAAGGAUGUUUUCAUUAAUCAAGAACGAAAGUUAGGGGAUCGAAGACGAUCAGAUACCGUCGUAGUCUUAACCAUAAACUAAUGCCGACUAGGGAUCGGAUGAUGUUAAUUUUUAAUGA